AACGUAGGAGACAAACGUUAUCCGGAGUUACUGGGCGUAAAGGGCGUGUAGGUUGUUACGUAAGUCUGGCGUGAAAUAUCUCGGCUUAACCGAGGCAGGUCGUCGGAUACUGCGAGACUAGAGGACGGUAGAGGCGUGUGGAAUUCCGGGUGUAGUGGUGAAAUGCGUAGAGAUCCGGAGGAACACCAGUGGCGAAGGCGACACGCUGGGCCGUACCUGACACUGAUGCGCGACAGCAUGGGGAGCAAAUAGG
rnacentral:rRNA from 1 species